AUUGAACGCUGGCGGCAGGCCUAACACAUGCAAGUCGAGCGGAUGACGGGAGCUUGCUCCAUGAUUCAGCGGCGGACGGGUGAGUAAUGCCUAGGAAUCUGCCUGGUAGUGGGGGACAACGUUUCGAAAGGAACGCUAAUACAGCAUACGUCCUACGGGAGAAAGCAGGGGACCUUCGGGCCUUGCGCUAUCAGAUGAGCCUAGGUCGGCUUAGCUAGUAGGUGAGGUAAUAGCUCACCUAGGAGACGAUCCGUAACUGGUCUGAGAGGAUGAUCAGUCACACUGGAACUGAGACACGGUCCAGACUCCUACGGGAGGCAGCAGUGGGGAAUAUUGGACAAUGGGCGAAAGCCUGAUCCAGCCAUGCCGCGUGUGUGAAGAAGGUCUUCGGAUUGUAAAGCACUUUAAGUUGGGAGGAAGGGCAGUAAGUUAAUACCUUGCUGUUUUGACGUUACCAACAGAAUAAGCACCGGCUAACUUCGUGCCAGCCGCCGCCGUAAUAC
rnacentral:rRNA from 1 species